UUUUACACUUCUCUAACCAAUCAUUUAUGCACGGAUGUCUAACUGGAUUCUCUUUUCAGACUCCAGGAAGAGAGUUCUUACUUUGUAUGCCAUCUCUUGAAAUCCAUAACGAGGUCAGUAGCUCUGAGAUGAGUUACCACUUUGAGAUGCGGUAUAUCAUUUUAUUUUUAAAUUUUAGAUUUGAAUUUAUUUGGUCUUAUUUUUGUUCAAUCUCCAUUGUAAGUGUUACAGUUAUGAUUUUCUUCUAUAAUCAUGAUUCUUUAUUUCUUUUCGAGUUUGGCAUUUUUUUCCACUUGGAAUCAAUACGCAUCGUUUGAUUGGAGUGACUGGUUAGGAACGUGAUUUUUCUAAAGUGAAAGUUAUGUGAUUUGCGGUGCCAUUCAUUUCUGUAAGUGAUUUCCGGUGAUAAACGACUUGCUUGAUCCAACAUGUCAGGAUUUGCACGUUAGAGAAGAUGCCCAGGUUUCCCACUUAUGUUUUCUCAAAAGGUCUUAUUUCUUUUUCUUGACUUGCUGAAUUUCAUAUGUUGAUCCCAUCUAGAAGUUAUAUAUCAGGGAACCUAUGUUGAGGGUAUAAAGGAAGAAGUUUAUCUCCUGGGCAUGCACUUUCUUUUAUUGCUGCUGGGGAAGAGCACCAUCAUGUUGGAUCAAAUACUUUCAAUCUGUUGAGUAGCUGAAGCCACGCCAUAUUUAACACUGGAAAGUGAGAAUGAGAAACUAAAGCUGGAACAUGUUCAGCUUCCGGAGGAGAAGAGUGGUUUUACGUGUUCAGAACCAGAAAUUGGCGGAAGAAGCUUCUUAUGCCAAAGAAUUGGCCUCUGCUGCUGCUGUAGAGUUGAAGAAUUUGGCUGGUGAAGUGACAAAGCUCUCAUUGCAGAAUGCAAAACAUGGAAAAGAGUUGUUUGCUGCUCGAGAUUGGCCCACUCUAAACGUGCUGCUAUGCAUAAACGUGCUGCUAUGCAAACUGUGAAUGCUGUGAACUGCAAGUUCAAUGAUGUAACCACAACUUGAAGGAAAGGGAGGCUAGCUUAGCUGGCCGUGCUAACGAAAUUUCUGGAGUGGUCUGCGAUGACUUUGAGUCAUGGAAUCUUGGUCAUGAAUCAUGAUGAUCUAAAGAUGGAUUAUCUAUUUUUCUUGACUAAAUCCUAAAGAUUUUAUCAUAAAGAUUUUCUCAUUAAUGUUCAUAAU